rnacentral:snRNA from 1 species
GAACUCACUUUGGCAGCACAUAUUCUGAAAUUGUAACAAUACAGAGAAGAAUAGUAUGGUUCCUGAACUAGGAUGACAUGCAAAUUUCUGUAGUGUUCCACUUGUUU